CCAAUAGCGUAUAUUAAAGUUGUUGCAGUUAAAAAGCUCGUAGUUGAAUUUCGGGAUCAGUACGCUGGUCAUGCCUUUGGUAUGCACUGGUGUCACUGGUUUCUCCCUUCUGAAGAUCCGUGAUGUCAUUAAUUUGGUGUCGCGGGGAAUCAGGACUGUUACUUUGAAAAAAUUAGAGUGUUUAAAGCAGGCUCACGCUUGAAUACAUUAGCAUGGAAUAAUGAAAUAGGACGUUUGACCCUAUUUUGUUGGUUUCUAGGAUCGACGUAAUGAUUAAUAGGGAUAGUUGGGGGCAUUAGUAUUCAAUUGUCAGAGGUGAAAUUCUUGGAUUUAUUGAAGACUAACUACUGCGAAAGCAUUUGCCAAGGAUGUUUUCAUUAAUCAAGAACGAAAGUUAGGGGAUCGAAGACGAUCAGGUACCGUCGUAGUCUUAACCAUAAACUAUGCCGACUAGGGAUCGGAUGAUGUUAAUUUUAUAAUGACUCAUUCGGCGCCUUACG
rnacentral:rRNA from 1 species